GCCAGCAGCCGCGGUAAUACGUAGGUGGCAAGCGUUGUCCGGAAUUAUUGGGCGUAAAGCGCGCGCAGGUGGUUCUUUAAGUCUGAUGUGAAAGCCCACGGCUCAACCGUGGAAGGUCAUUGGAAACUGGGGAACUUGAGUGCAGAAGAGGAAAGUGGAAUUCCAAGUGUAGCGGUGAAAUGCGUAGAUAUUUGGAGGAACACCAGUGGCGAAGGCGACUUUCUGGUCUGUAACUGACACUGAGGCGCGAAAGCGUGGGGAGCAAACAGGAUUAGAUACCCUGGUAGUCCACGCCGUAAACGAUGAGUGCUAAGUGUUAGAGGGUUUCCGCCCUUUAGUGCUGCAGCAAACGCAUUAAGCACUCCGCCUGGGGAGUACCGUCCGCAGAAUGAAACUCCAAAGAAUUGACGGGGGCC
rnacentral:rRNA from 1 species